GCGGCAGGCUUACACAUGCAAGUCGAGCGGAGUGAUGGUGCUUGCACUAUCACUUAGCGGCGGACGGGUGAGUAAUGCUUAGGAAUCUGCCUAUUAGUGGGGGACAACAUCUCGAAAGGGAUGCUAAUACCGCAUACGUCCUACGGGAGAAAGCAGGGGAUCACUUGUGACCUUGCGCUAAUAGAUGAGCCUAAGUCGGAUUAGCUAGUUGGUGGGGUAAAGGCCUACCAAGGCGACGAUCUGUAGCGGGUCUGAGAGGAUGAUCCGCCACACUGGGACUGAGACACGGCCCAGACUCCUACGGGAGGCAGCAGUGGGGAAUAUUGGACAAUGGGGGGAACCCUGAUCCAGCCAUGCCGCGUGUGUGAAGAAGGCCUUAUGGUUGUAAAGCACUUUAAGCGAGGAGGAGGCUCUUUUGGUUAAUACCCAAGAUGAGUGGACGUUACUCGCAGAAUAAGCACCGGCUAACUCUGUGCCAGCAGCCGCGGUAAUACAGAGGGUGCAAGCGUUAAUCGGAUUUACUGGGCGUAAAGCGCGCGUAGGCGGCCAAUUAAGUCAAAUGUGAAAUCCCCGAGCUUAACUUGGGAAUUGCAUUCGAUACUGGUUGGCUAGAGUGUGGGAGAGGAUGGUAGAAUUCCAGGUGUAGCGGUGAAAUGCGUAGAGAUCUGGAGGAAUACCGAUGGCGAAGGCAGCCAUCUGGCCUAACACUGACGCUGAGGUGCGAAAGCAUGGGGAGCAAACAGGAUUAGAUACCCUGGUAGUCCAUGCCGUAAACGAUGUCUACUAGCCGUUGGGGCCUUUGAGGCUUUAGUGGCGCAGCUAACGCGAUAAGUAGACCGCCUGGGGAGUACGGUCGCAAGACUAAAACUCAAAUGAAUUGACGGGGGCCCGCACAAGCGGUGGAGCAUGUGGUUUAAUUCGAUGCAACGCGAAGACCUUACCUGGCCUUGACAUAGUAGAAACUUUCCAGAGAUGGAUUGGUGCCU
rnacentral:rRNA from 1 species